rnacentral:tRNA from 1 species
GCGUUGGUGGUUCAACAGUAGAGCUCCCACAUUCCACGUGGGAGACCUGGGUUCCAUUCCCAGCCAAGACA